GACGAACGCUGGCGGCGUGCCUAAUACAUGCAAGUCGAGCGGACCAAAGGGAGCUUGCUCCUGGAGGUCAGCGGCGAACGGGUGAGUAACACGUGGGCAACCUGCCUGUAAGACUGGGAUAACAUCGAGAAAUCGGUGCUAAUACCGGAUAAUAAAAAGAACUGCAUGGUUCUUUUUUGAAAGAUGGUUUCGGCUAUCACUUACAGAUGGGCCCGCGGCGCAUUAGCUAGUUGGUGAGGUAACGGCUCACCAAGGCAACGAUGCGUAGCCGACCUGAGAGGGUGAUCGGCCACACUGGGACUGAGACACGGCCCAGACUCCUACGGGAGGCAGCAGUAGGGAAUCUUCCGCAAUGGACGAAAGUCUGACGGAGCAACGCCGCGUGAGUGAUGAAGGUUUUCGGAUCGUAAAACUCUAGUUGUUAGGGAAGAACAAGUGCCGUUCGAAAGGGCGGCACCUUGACGGUACCUAACGAGAAAGCCACGGCUAACUACGUGCCAGCAGCCGACGG
rnacentral:rRNA from 1 species